rnacentral:lncRNA from 1 species
CAGUGGUAUGAGUGAUCCUUUAAUCUGUGGUGUCAUCGACUAUUGACAGUGAGGCUACUGAGUUUGACUGCACGUUCUCUGGAUCCCUAGCCAUUCAGGUCCUUAUUGUAUAUGUUGGCUACAGUAGGUUCAGAUUUACUGUUUAGAGUAGGAUGCACGUAGAUGAAAUCUAUCGAUCUUGGUAGAAAAGGAGAAGUCCUAUGCGAUUUAUGAGACUGAGUUCAGAAAGUCUUUGACCAAAGCAAGUGUGAAUACUAGAAAAGAGUUUUCACGAGAUUCACAAAUGAACUCGAGUCAAGCCAAUUUAGCAUAUGACUGACGAUGGGAUCUGAUGAGUUCUCCAUGACCUCCAUCA